rnacentral:rRNA from 1 species
ACUCAAAUGAAUAGACGGGGGCCCGCACAAGCGGUGGAGCAUGUGGUUCAAUUCGAAGCAACGCGCAGAACCUUACCCACUCUUGACAUCCCGGUCGCGGGGACCAGAGAUGGACCCCUUCAGUUCGGCUGGACCGGUGACAGGUGCUGCAUGGCUGUCGUCAGCUCGUGUCGUGAGAUGUUGGGUUAAGUCCCGCAACGAGCGCAACCCUCGCCGUUAGUUGCCAGCAUUUGGUUGGGCACUCUAACGGGACUGCCGGUGAUAAGCCGGAGGAAGGUGGGGAUGACGUCAAGUCCUCAUGGCCCUUACGAGUGGGGCUACACACGUGCUACAAUGGCGGUGACAGAGGGCAGCUACCCCGCGAGGGGACGCUAAUCCCGAAAAGCCGUCUCAGUUCGGAUUGCACUCUGCAACUCGAGUGCAUGAAGUCGGAAUCGCUAGUAAUCGCAGAUCAGCACGCUGCGGUGAAUACGUUCCCGGGCCUUGUACACACCGCCCGU